rnacentral:lncRNA from 1 species
GACACAGCUGGCUGCCUCGCCGGCUGCGGGAGGGGCAGCCGGAGCAGGUGGCCAGACCGUGACAUCCCCACGCUGCCGCCUGCCUGGCCCUGUUGACUCACCUCAGAUGUCAACUCGGCCGCCCACAGGGCCCAGUCCUGCACAGCUGGGGCAGGUGGGGGGCAGGCCCGGCAGGUGCCAGGCCAGGCCUCAGGCCCUCCCAGAGGCAGAUGCUGGAGGCAGGGGCGGCUGGGUCCCCUCCAAGGGUGGCGGACUCCACCGUCCCCGGUGAGCAGGGACCCAGGGGUUGGCAAGGAAGCUGGUGUACAGCUGCCUGGGGUCCCCAGCCUUGGAGACUGCAUGAGGGAACUGAGGCCACAGGAAGAGGGCCGGGGCCCGGGCCCCAGAAGUGAGUGGCGGUCCAGAGACCACCCAGGACCCCUCUGAGAAGCACCCCUACCAGGCUCCCUGCCAUGGAGCCAGCACCCAGGAGCCGUGGGCACGGGGGAAGACCUCCCCGGGCUGCAGAGUGGCGUUGUAGGAGGAAAGGCUGCCGCCCUCCCUGACAAGCCUGACCCCAGCUGCAAUGUCGCCUGCCCGGCUCUUCCAGGACCGGGGGCCCACUCCCCACCCAGGGCCACGUGGCUCUCACUGCUGCGUCGCCUCCAGGGUGCAAGCGGGCCUCGGCACUCAUGCCCAGCCUGCUGACCCCAGACGGCCCCACCCCCUCUGCAGAGGGACAGCCUCCCCGAGCCGGCCCCACCUGCCCCAUCCUGGGUCCCGAAGUCCAGCCGCUGCAUGUCCGCCGGUUGUCCCGGCACACACGCAGGACUAGGGCGCCAGGUGCACAAGGCCCGCCUCUCCACUCACGACUUUGCCCGCAUCGGGGUGAUUCAGAGCCAUCAGAGGUGUGCCAGUCACUGGCCUUGGGAUGUGGUCACCCACCCUCGGGCUGGCCAGAGGCUCUUGUCCAGCUCCAACUGGCCACCAUGCAGCCCCACCUGACCCCCACUGUCCCGGAACCAGCAGCCCCAUUGGGCGCCGGCCCCUCCUCAUUGGGCCUCAGUUUCCUCGGGUGUCAGGCCCUGUCCUUGUGCUCCCUGAAGGGGUCAAGGCGCAGCUUCUCCAAGGCUGGGGACGUAGAUGGGGGUGCAUGAGAACUGUCGUGUUUGGAUGGGGGCGUCGGCCCAUGGAAGGAGCCCCAGCCCACCGCCGUGCUCACACUGACCUUGGCACUGCAAGUGCCUAGAGCUGACGCAGAAUCCCAGCUACCCAUGGGGGUCACUUCUCACUUGGGAGGCUUCACUGGGAGAAGGGACAGCAGCGGGCGUUUGGCUGGUGCUUUGAGCUGGGAUCUUGCCUGGGCUGUGAGGUCCCAGCCCUGGGAGACACCGGCUUUUGGGAGCUCACAGCUGGUCUUCUCUGAAUCGCCCGGCCCCACAGAGCUGGUUCUGCUCCACCAGGAGGCUUUCUGCUCCCUGGGUAACCCCCAGGGGGACAGAUGCUGGGCCCAACAAAGCUGGAUGUCACCCCCAGGGGAAGUGGCUGCUGGGGCUGGGCUGGAGGGGGCCAGGGGGCCUGGGGGCCCAGGUCAGACGCCGGGUCAGUGUGGCUCAGCCGUGUGGGUUUCCCAAGCGUGCAUGGAAACAUGUGAGACUCAGAAUGCUAUGCGCCUUAAACAGCGAAAAGAACAGCAAUCUCUUUUAAAGCUGAAGUAGGAGAGCUUGUCCCUCCGAGAACAGACGUGUCUGAACGCUCCCUGUAGGAGGCGGGGGCAGGGCCGAGGGGGGCGGAUGGGAUCCGACUGUGGCAGCUGGGAGGGAGCAGCGCCGGCUGGGGGGUGUCGCCGCACCCAGAUCUCUUAGCUGCCAGUUGUGUGUCCUAGGAGCUGGACCCCACAAAGUGACAAGUAGGGACCAGGACGCCAACAGGGAGUCCUCAGGCAGAGGAGUCCUCUGACCGCCCCAGGGCAGAAAAUGUCAGGCCUGUUUGAGGUCCCCUGAGAGGGACAGGUGGGCCCAGGUGGCAGGUUUCAGCAGAAGCAUGGCCAGGGCGACAGUGAGUGUCCCUGGCUGGAGGAUGCCAGCCAAGGCUGCCGGGCGCUGGGGUGUUGAACAAGGGCCUGUGGAGCGUGCCGUCCUGCGAGCCUUGGGUCCCCUGUCCCAGGGGUGAGGCUCAGUAGUCACCACUGUCAUCAGGUGGCCUUGCCCUACUCCCCUCCUCCUCCCCUCCAGCUGCCCCCCGACCACAGGCUCUUCUCGAGAACAUUCUCUGCCUGGAAAGCCCUUCUCUGCAGCAUCAGUUUCCUGGGGCUGCUGCAAGCAAGCAGCACAACCCGGGGACUUAGGCGGGAAAUCCCUGCCUUCCCAGGCCUCCAGCCAGAGUCUGAAUCCAGAGGCCACAGAGACCUGUGGGAGGGUCCUUCUUGCACCUGGCGGCUCCAAGUGUCCUUGGCUUGUGGCCACAUGGCUCCUUUCUCUGUCCCCAUCUUCAUGUGGCCUCUCCUCCUGUCUCUGCCUCUUCUCUUCUUAUAGGAACUGUUGUCUUUGGGAAUUCCCAUCAUGGCUCAGGGAUUGAUGAAUCUGACCAGCAUCCACGGGGACGCAGGUUCCAUCCCUGGCCUCGCUCAGUGGGUUAAGGGUCCGGUGUUGCCGUGAGCGUGGUGUAGGUUGCAGAUGUGGCUUGGAUCCUCUGUGGCUGUGCUGUGGCUUAGGUUGGCGGCUGUAGCUCUGACUGGACCCCUGGCCUGGGAACCUCCAUGUGCUGCGGGUGUGACCCUAAAAAGCAAAAAAAAAAAAAAAA